UACAGAGGUCUCAAGCGUUGUUCGGAUUCAUUGGGCGUAAAGGGUGCGUAGGCGGCGCGGUAAGUCGGGUGUGAAAUCUCGGAGCUUAACUCCGAAACUGCAUUCGAUACUGCCGUGCUUGAGGACUGGAGAGGAGACUGGAAUUUACGGUGUAGCGGUGAAAUGCGUAGAUAUCGUAAGGAAGACCAGUGGCGAAGGCGGGUCUCUGGGCCGUAACUGACGCUGAGGAGCGAAAGCGUGGGGAGCGAACAGG
rnacentral:rRNA from 1 species